UUCGUUCACAAAUGGAAAUAGGGUUAGAGAUAGUGAAAUCCGAAACUCUCUCCCUCCUUCAAGAGAAGAUCGUGAACGGUGAUGGUGGUGCGGCUGAUUCCUCUCCUCCGAUCGACAACAACAACUACCAUUGCUUUCUUCUUUUUUCAUCACAAAUGGCAGCGCGACCUCCAUCUCCAGCGAUAUCUCCUUUCCGUCUCCGUUUGAUCCUCUCCGUCUCCGAUUUUUUCGAUUCAUGUUAGUUUUUGUUCAACAUCAUGUUUUAUUAACUUAAUUUGUUUGAUUUUUACAGAGAUUAACACAAAUUCUAAAAGGGAAAACGAAACCCUAGUUGUGAAAAAACGAAGCAGAAUAGGGUUCGAGAAGAAGAAAGUUGCACUGUAGAGAGAACUAAGGGACUGGGUAGCGCGCCAUCUCCCGUGUACGAUUCUUCUUCCCAACCUUCACCUUUCUCUUUUCUCUGCGUACAAAUCUAACCCUUCUUCGCCUUUUUUGUCGAAUUCGCCUUCGAUUUUUGGACAUCAUUCCGGUUUCUCUAAUGAGUCUGGUACUCCUCCUAAACCUCCUAGGAAAGAACCCAAGACACCCCACAAGGUGAGGGUGCUGAAACAGAUUGGAGUUUACUAUUGUGAGGUCCUUUAAUUGGAUUGGAUCUAUAAUGGACUCCAUUGAUGGAUGUUGAGAGGCUUUAUGGAUGUUGAAAAAGUACAAAUCUAACAUUGUCUGAGGGCUGAGUUGCUAUCUUUUGUUCGGAUAAUCUUGUCAGUUGGUUCCUUUCUUCAUUUAUUUUAUGUCUUCUUCAACAUUCUAGCUGCCUGCGUGAUUAUGCCCCAGUUGAGGAGAGAAGAGUUUUGGUGCGCUUUCCUGUCUUACUAAUAUCUCUAGUUUAUCUGUCCUAUGUUUUUGCAGGUUGACAUGCCAUAAUUGGCUCCUAUUCACCUAUUUCCACUGCUAAAGGAAUUUUAGUUAAGGUGCAGAACAAAUGUACAAUUUAAUGUUCCAGCUGCUGCAGUGAUGGAAGCAACUACAGAUGAUGGUUUUGCUGCUAAACUUGAUGCUCUUGCAUAGCUUGAUGAUGAACCUGCUCCUGAUGCCCUAAAGAAUGCACCAUUUAACAUCAAAUCUCCACUUGAUCUGCAAUUCCAAUUCUUCCACUGGCUUUGCCCCGCAUUCUCGCGCUUCGUCACCUGAAAAAUUAGUUCGAUUGACAAAGAAAUUGACUCUAACUCAACUCGUCGGAGUUGCACGUCGACACCGCGAUUUAUAAAAUAGGUCAUUUAAUAUAUGCUUUGCCAAUCGGAGCUCUACAACUAGUGUGGAUCCGGUAUGAGCGUGAUGGAAAUGAGUCACAGAGCUGAAUCGCAAUGUGUGAUUCAUACAUAAUAUGAUGCAUUUGGAUCUGCCAUGGCAGUUACAGAGAUGGAGACCCAGGAGAUGGAGACCCAACUGACAAUGCUACAAGAAUCUAUACAUGGUUUACUGAGGUUUGAAGUUACAUUACACCACUUUUAAGUAAAAUUUUGGGGUUUAAGCAUGGGCGGACCUAGUAAUAGGCAGGGUGUGGCUAUAGCCACACCAGAUUUUUCAAUACCGCCACUUUACUGCUGCUCAGAAAUCACCGCCAUGGACAUCGAUUUACCGUUUUUCGCACGAGUCUCCAACCACAACUCACACAUCCCCGACAAGCUUCACAUAAAAGGUAACUAUUCUUCUCUUUUUCCAUUUUUUUGACAUUUGUGGUGAUGAUUUUGUUUGAUUUGUAUGUUGGUUAGUUAAGAGAAAUCUUGAAAGAAUAGAGAAAGUUGGAAGAAAGGAAAAGAACCAAGAUAUACGGCUCAUGUGAUGACAUUUGAGGUUGGAGCAGUGCUUGAGGAUUCCAAUUGGCAGGCUCCUGUGUACUGUUUCAAUCAGACUGAGAAGAUUUUGGAAUCGGCUGAGAAGAUUUUGGAAUCGGCUGCUGUUCGUGGUGAUUCUUUUGGGAGUUUGAUGAGAGGCAAAUUUGACGAUGUUCGUGACAUUUAAGGAAAUGGAUUAAAUUGUAUAUGCCUUAUCUAUUUCUGUUUUGGGGAUAGGUAAGGAUUGUUUAGUUUAGUCAAAUAUUUAUAUCAAUUUUCCAUCAUCGUCUUGUAGGGAUAUGGAUGCAUAUUGUUUUCAUCCAAGCUCAUAUGUCAAGUUCUUUUAGUUCAUCUCAUCUUAAAAUUUUGGGAGAUGAUGAACUGAAUUGCUAAGUCUCAUAAGGGAUAAAAUAUAACUUAUUUUGAUGUAAAUAAGUAAUCUAGUGAUUAAUUAUAUGAGUAGUAGUAAUAAUUUUGUAAUACCUCACAAAUCUUGUUGACCCGUAUAUUA